ensembl:lncRNA
GUCUUUCUCAAGUUGAGCAUCUCCUUCCCACUAACCUCUCCACCAAAUCUUCUACAGGUUGGAUGUUCGGCAGGACAAGCAUGCAGUAAAUGCAGUUAACAAGGGAAGAAGAAUCUGAUUGAUGCAAAGAGAAACAAACCUCAGCUGGCUCAUUUCUGUCAUGGAAAGCAAGUGGCUCAAAGACACUCCAGAGUCUCUUUCUCUCUUGAACAUUGACUCAGGCUCUCACAUAAGGAACCAAGGAGAUCCCAGGCAUCCCAGAAAAAAAUGGGAAGAGGAGGAAGUUCUUGUUGUGCCCUGGAAAGAGCAGAUCUGGCCAAGAAUGUGCAACUGACUCCCUUUGCGUUGUGAUCACCUGCAGAUCUCGAAAGUGCUUCUAGAGAGAAACACUGCUUCCCAGCUUUCAUUUAAUGAAAAAAGAAGCAAGCAGCAUUAACACAUGAAGCAAAAUCCUCUGAGAUGUUCCCAUCAGCUCAACACACACAAAAAAAAACUUCAGCGGAUUGAGCAGUGUUCAAAAAUACAUCCAAAGGAUGCUCUUCCACAUCAAACAGCACUGGCGUGCUCUUGCACAGGCUUCCAGAUGGUCCAUCUUUGGAGCCUUUUCUUUUAAGCGGAUAGCCUGAGGCACAACAGGACCAUAUCACUGCUUUAUUUAGAGCACAGAAAAUAAAAAGUCCUCCUUAGCAAAAAGAAAUUAUUUUUCUAAAAAUAAAGAUCAGUUUUCUCAGAUUUCCUUUUUAUUCUUCUUCCCCACAAAAACACAUUAAAGAGCACAGCUCUGCUGAGGUUAAAAGAGCCUCUUGGUGGUUGAUAGCUCCUGUAUUGCAGUCCUUAAUUCACAGAUACAUCUUUUUCUUUUCAAUUCUAAAUUAUGCACUCUGUGCUCGACAACUUCAAGUGUACCAGAACGGGAUAGUUUUCGAGCCCAUACACUGUGAAUCUGUUUCUUAAGCAGCUUUCAAGGUUUUCAGAAAGGAGCCAUUAAAAUGAUAUCACACUCCAUUUCAGCAAAACAAAAAUACUGAUUUGUUGGGGUCUACUAUGAAACCAAUUGACUUCGGGAGGAAAAUCUUAAAUCUUGAUAACUAUAAACUGCUUAAAUGUGACAGGCUGAUCACAGAGGUUGUGGAGUCUCCUUCUUUGGGUCUGGAUGCUGUUCUGUGCAACCUCCUGUAUGGAAUCUGCUUUAGCAGGGGCUGGAACUCAAUAAUCCUCCCUUCCAACUCCUACAGUUCUAUGAUCCUGUGCUAUUAGAACAGGUCAUAAUAUCACAGAAUAUCAAGGAAAUAACCCAGCCACGCAUCUCCAGAGGUUUCAGGGCUGUGAACUGAGCAAGUUGUUUUCCCCAGCUCUGUGUUCUGAAUGACCAAACAAGCACUUGGUGUUUUUGCAAGCUUUAUACGAAAUGGACCUUUGUCUCUGCUGAUGUCACCACGUUUCAUCACAAGUUGAUAUAGAGCAGUAAAAUCCAACAUUACUACACUUGUGCAGUCCAACAAUGCAAGACCUGCAUGUUAAAUCUGCCUAGAACAUGCAGUGUUAAGAGUACAGUAGUGUUGUCCCACCCAUGCCCAGCUUCAGACUUAUUAUUUGAAUGUGUUAUCCUAGCUCUAAUCAGAAGAAGAAGAAGAAUGGCACAAACCUCACUUUGAUAGUGGUUAUUUUCAAUGUGGUCUCUGAGGUCUACAGGAAAAAUGACCAAGGGGGUAAUAAGGAAGGGCAUACAUGUGAGGUAUAAAUCAAAACACUUUACUAGUUCUCUGUUCUUCCUUCAAAUAUUUGUUUCACCAUGAAUCACAGAAUCAUAUGCAGAAUGGAGGGAUGGGUCUAUCAAAGAUGACCAGGGUCUGGAUGGGCAUAUCCCAGUCAUGCCACAGGUCACAGCCAUAGCUUCAGUGCAGUGUGCUGAUGUGCUGGGGCUCCAAGGCACAUCUCCUCCCAAAAAUAUACAGCUUAAGCAGACACCUGGGAAGACCUGCAAGAAGCUGUUGGUUUAGGAACCUUACAUGCAAUCCUCUCUCACACUUGGAUUUCCUUGAGAGAUCACUGCUGCAGGAUGCUAAGAUGAGCAACAUGAGUCAAUCAGAAAUACAAAGCCACUCGGUCUCAACAAAAUGCUUGGUUGUGAGUCAAACAAUACAAGUUUUGAAAACUAUUUCAGACUAAAUUCUUCCUCAGGACAUGGCCUCCAAGGGUGAAAGCUUGGUCCCACUGAGGCCAAGAGCAAAAUUCCUGCAGACCUCAGCAGGACCUGGCUCGUACCCAAAGCAAACUUUUCAAGUCCCAGCCAAACUCUUCAGCUGCAGACGUUCAUUUCUAUUAUUUUUGUAGCCUUUUUGUCCUGCAAAAGGGAUCCUUCUGCAUUGUCCAUCCAACAGUCAUUAACAAGAUGGAAGAAAUAUAAUUUGCUGUUGAAAAAAAAAUCUAUAAAUUAUUUUUUUCAAUUAGAAAUGAUAUGUCUGUAACAUGGUCUCCAAGUGUGUCAGUGGAAGUCUGGUCAGUGGAAGAGACCUGCAUAGCUCAAAACCUUCUGGGACUGGGAUUAUGCUCUGUUCUAUUUCACCUAACCCUACAGGAUCCUGCAUCUGAAACAGGGGCCUUCCAGGAACUUGGUAAAAGCAAUUAUAAACACAAGUAUUUUAAUUUUAGCCCUGUUGACUUUCCUUCUGCCAUUAUUGUUUGUCAUUCCCAGCAGACUGAAGGCAUUUUGCCUCAUGGGGAACUGCACUGUAACGAUUUUAAAGCACACUCCAAUUUUACAUUUGGAACAACGUUAACAAGUAAAACAUGAACUGUCAGUUUUACAACAAGUUUUUUAACUUCUGAUUAUUUGUUUUAAAGCUUGCAUUCCUGAAAACCAGUAGUUACAUCAAUUCUCCUUGGUGUCAGAAGAAAAUGUCUAGGACAUGCCUACGGGGUAUGGCUCAAAAUGCUGACCCCAAGCAUGUCGGCAAAACUAGAAAGCAAAUAGACCAUGUUCUCUGAGAUCACCAAUGGUCUAUCUGGGUCAUCACAUGCUGGCAGUGCUUCUCGUGUUAAAAAGUCAAGAAAUUGUGCCACAAGAUUUACCUACUGUACGACCACAGGAAUAUAGUCUAGACCAGACCUGAGUUCAGAUCUCAACUCUCUACCGAUACCCAGACAUUUUCACCAUAUGCUUGUAAUUAUGAAAUCAUUCUCAUCAGCAAGAAACACAAUACACUUUAAAGGAAAGAAAAUAAACUAGGCCUUAAUUUUACCUUCAUCUACUCCCCACACACACUGACAUUUUUAUGCAACUGGAACAGGGACUCGCCCUUCUCAUUUCUAUAUGCCAAGUUGGUUUGCUGACACAUUAUUAGACUCCACAAAUCUCUGGCUUUGUCCAGGAAAGAAAGUCAGGCUCCAGCAAAAGCAAGCUGCGUUGAACUUGCUCAAACAUGCAUAUUUCAAGCACUGUCUUCUCCCACAGCUCAAAGGACAUUGCGACACCAUCCAGAUAAAAUUUUAGUGCAACAUGCCAAAGCAGUUGCUUACAUUAAGGUUUGGUCCAAGCCACUAAAAGUAGAAGUGAAUGUAGAUCUCGAGAAACGCAUGGCUACUUUACCCUCUGAGUUUUCCAAAGCUUUUGCCCUUGGACACAGGAACUUCCAGCCUUCACAUCAUGGGGCUGCCCCUUGCCAUUGAGGUCAGGUCAAAUGAUUCCACUAGUAUUGGCUCCAGCUUUUCUCUCUUCUGAUGCAGCACCUGUGUGGUUACAACUCUGCUUAUGGUGACAAGCAGUAAGUGCUGAAAAUUUUAGUGAUACCAAAUGUGCAUCAUUUUGGCAUGUCUUGAGUCCAUUCAACCUUUCAAAUUGCAGCACGGAAAGAGAAUGGGCAAGCUGCAUCUCUGAAACAAGCUGGAAGUACUACUGAUGACUAUAAGAACCACAGCUGUUUCUUUUGAAGGUCUUCUAGUUCUCCAAAAGAGAUACAAGCAACAGAAGACAGGUCAAGCUUGAAAGUAAGGCUACUAUAGACCCAAACACGUUCCUGUAGAAGCAGCUGCAGGAUGGCCCAGAUGCAUGAACUUAAUUCUGAUUCAAAUGUGCUUUCAGAGCAGUUUGGCACAUUAGAUAGUAUUUGGUCAUGUUCACACAUACAUCAGGAAGUUUCUAGUUUGCCAGAUACACUGGCCAUCUUGUAUUGCUUUCAGGCAGCCUCCCUCAUCUGGCUUUCACAAUAUAACAGAAUUCCUGAGAAUAUUUUGCUGUAAAACUAAGCUUUGCCAGAGGGAGAACUUCACAUGCAAAUGACUUCUGCAUCACCCUUGAAGAACCAGUCCACAGAGCUACAUAUAAUGUCUCCUUCCUCUAUCUGUUCACCUCAGAUCAACCCCUUGUAGGAAAUUUUAAGUACUGCAGUCAUCUGUGAGUCAUUCGUGGCAUCUAUGCCACGCAUAUAACCACCUGAAGUGAGCACCAGAGCCAAGCUUCAUGCUCUGGAAGAACACGCUGUUCCCUCUGUCACACGUCUUAGUCCUUUGGUGGCUGCUGUAAAGGCCCUUCCUCCUGCUACGGUCACAAAGAGGAAAGGAUGGAAGACAUUUUAUAUAUAUAGUUACAUUCACAUUAUGUGCACAUACAUAGUUGAAAACAAAUGAAUGUACCAAAUAAAUGGGGAGUUUUUGUAGAGCUUGUUAUCUCAAAGUUGAUUUUCCCUGGGAUCAAAGUCCAACUUCUCCCACAGCCCAAACCACUUUCUGACCAAAUUCUGAAAAUUCCUGUUCUUCACCCAAAAAGGAAAACAGGCAGCUCCCACUGCUUUCUAAGCCAUGUGUUUUCCUCUGUAGGAGAAACCCUUUGUAUUUUUGACAACUUCCUCAAGUUAGCGGCAGUUGAGAAGCAGAUGACGUCUGUGGUAUACCAAAACCCCAGUGCCCUGACGCACAUUUGCCCUGGAUCACGAAAUGAGUUGCAAAAUGAUGACACCGUGAAAAUGCCAGAUAGCAUCAGCAAAAGCCGGGAUUUCUUUGAAGGGAGCAGCCAUUUUCCCCUCCCAAAACAAGCUAAUGUAUGAGAACGAGGAGAACACAUGUCUUACUGAUGCAACCCCCAUGGUGAGCAGGUUGUAAAUCUCCACUCUAAGCAGGACAUCAGCUUAUAUGCAGGAAUAAAGGCUCGGAGUACUUGAGCAGUUGGCCACGGACGCACAAACUCUCACACCUUAAGAAGACACCAAAUACUUGUUUCCACCACAAUGGAAAUAAUAAAGUCAUUUUCUUUUCUCUUUCUUUUCAAGUGCUGUUGAGGGUUUUUCCUCAACGAAAUGGUGUUC